rnacentral:rRNA from 1 species
GUGGGGAAUAUUGCACAAUGGGCGAAAGCCUGAUGCAGCAACGCCGCGUGAGUGAUGAAGGCCUUCGGGUUGUAAAGCUCUGUCUUCUGGGACGAUAAUGACGGUACCAGAGGAGGAAGCCACGGCUAACUACGUGCCAGCAGCCGCGGUAAUACGUAGGUGGCAAGCGUUGUCCGGAUUUACUGGGCGUAAAGGAUGCGUAGGCGGAUACUUAAGUCAGAUGUGAAAAUCCCGGGCUUAACUUGGGAACUGCAUUUGAAACUGGGUAUCUAGAGUGCGGGAGAGGAAAGUGGAAUUCCUAGUGUAGCGGUGAAAUGCGUAGAGAUUAGGAAGAACACCAGUGGCGAAGGCGACUUUCUGGACCGUAACUGACGCUGAGGCACGAAAGCGUGGGUAGCAAACA